UACGUAGGGUGCGAGCGUUAAUCGGAAUUACUGGGCGUAAAGCGUGCGCAGGCGGUUUUGUAAGACAGAGGUGAAAUCCCCGGGCUCAACCUGGGAACUGCCUUUGUGACUGCAAGGCUUGAGUGUGGCAGAGGGGGAUGGAAUUCCGCGUGUAGCAGUGAAAUGCGUAGAUAUGCGGAGGAACACCGAUGGCGAAGGCAAUCCCCUGGGCCUGCACUGACGCUCAUGCACGAAAGCGUGGGGAGCAAACAGG
rnacentral:rRNA from 1 species